rnacentral:rRNA from 1 species
GACGUAGGGAGCGAGCGUUGUCCGGAUUCAUUGGGCGUAAAGAGCGCGCAGGCGGUCGUUCAAGUCGCGUGUGAAAGCCCCCGGCUCAACUGGGGAGGGUCACGCGAUACUGAUCGACUCGAAGGCAGGAGAGGGUAGUGGAAUUCCCGGUGUAGUGGUGAAAUGCGUAGAUAUCGGGAGGAACACCAGUGGCGAAGGCGACUACCUGGCCUGUUCUUGACGCUGAGGCGCGAAAGCUAGGGGAGCAAACGGG